GAUGAACGCUGGCGGCGUGCCUAAUACAUGCAAGUCGAGCGAACAGACGAGGAGCUUGCUCCUCUGACGUUAGCGGCGGACGGGUGAGUAACACGUGGAUAACCUACCUAUAAGACUGGGAUAACUUCGGGAAACCGGAGCUAAUACCGGAUAAUAUAUUGAACCGCAUGGUUCAAUAGUGAAAGACGGUUUUGCUGUCACUUAUAGAUGGAUCCGCGCCGCAUUAGCUAGUUGGUAAGGUAACGGCUUACCAAGGCAACGAUGCGUAGCCGACCUGAGAGGGGGGUCGGCCACACUGGAGCUGAGACACGGUCCAGACUCCUACGGGAGGCAGCAGUAGGGAAUCUUCCGCAAUGGGCGAAAGCCUGACGGAGCAACGCCGCGUGAGUGAUGAAGGUCUUCGGAUCGUAAAACUCUGUUAUUAGGGAAGAACAAAUGUGUAAGUAACUAUGCACGUCUUGACGGUACCUAAUCAGAAAGCCACGGCUAACUACGUG
rnacentral:rRNA from 1 species